UUUCCGUAGGUGAACCUGCGGAAGGAUCAUUACUGAGUGAGGGCCCUCUGGGUCCAACCUCCCACCCGUGUUUAUUGUACCUAGUUGCUUCGGUGCGCCCGCCUCACGGCCGCCGGGGGGCUUCUGCCCCCGGGUCCGCGCGCACCGGAGACACCAUUGAACUCUGUCUGAAGAUUGCAGUCUGAGCAUAAACUAAAUAAGUUAAAACUUUCAACAACGGAUCUCUUGGUUCCG
rnacentral:misc_RNA from 1 species